rnacentral:sRNA from 1 species
AUCUAGCCCCCGAUUGAACGAAAAGCCCGGAGUGAGGACUUGCAGUAAAAGCGGGACAGAAG